UACGUAGGGCGCAAGCGUUGUCCGGAAUUAUUGGGCGUAAAGAGCUCGUAGGCGGCCUGUUGCGUCCGCUGUGAAAUCCCGGGGCUCAACCCCGGGCCUGCAGUGGAUACGGGCUGGCUAGAGGCAGGCAGGGGAGAACGGGAAUCCUGGUGUAGCGGUGAAAUGCGCAGAUAUCAGGAGGAACACCGGUGGCGAAGGCGGUUCUCUGGGCCUGUACUGACGCUGAGGAGCGAAAGCGUGGGGAGCGAACAGG
rnacentral:rRNA from 1 species